UCGAUCCCGUACGAUCACUAAAGUUCAGCAACGUCGAGCCUGGUCAGUACCUAGAUGGGUGACUGUUUGGGAAUGCCAGGUGAUGUAA